UAUUAUUAUACCACCUGAAUGUGCCUGAUCUCAUCUGACCUUAGAAGCUAAGCAGGGUUGGGUCUAGUUAAUAUUUGAAUGGGAUAAUAA
rnacentral:rRNA from 1 species